GUCUUUGUCAGGCAGUUAUUAUAUGUGGACUGUGCUGAGGAAGUUGCAGACACAUCCUGGGAGCCUCAGGUCGCUAACAUCCGGUGACCCCAGAGGUUAGGUUUCGUGCCCAAGUUCGCCCAGCCGGCGGUGGCAGAGCCACGUGACCACCAAGCUUGGCUUUUCCGCCUGUCCAUCAACCGCUUCAGGAGCAGGCAGUCUGCAUCUCCUGUCAAGCUCUGACUCUUCCCUCCCCAUCUCACUCGGCGUUGCCUGGAGAAUAAGCAUCGUGACCAGUGAGAGUGAAGUCAGAGUCCGAUAUACUGUAGAACUCCAGAAGGAAGCAGGCUCAGAGAAGGCCAGCACCUUGCCCAAGGCCAGCCGGCCCAAAGCAGCAAAAGCAGCCAGGAACAGAGAUUUCCUCAAGCACGGCACUCUCUAUACCGGGUGUUCAGCCUCACUUCCAGAGACUAUGAAGAAGGCUCAGGGCCUGCUUCGUUUUUGUUUCAGGAAUGGAUUUCACAAAAGAACAAGAUAGUACACUUAAUCCUGGCUGCAGCUGCUGGAAAAUUUGCUGUGGCCUCCUCAUGUUAGCUGCGUGUUGAACUUGGACCGUCAAACAAAGCACAGCAGGAGAAAGACAAAGAGAUCUUCCGCUGGUGGCUGGAAGUUCAUUUUGGUUCCCCCUUUGACUUCACAGAAAGAAAGAAGCAGGAAACCUGCAUUUCUGUCAUUGUUACAGUCACUUGAACUAUGCAAUGCCACUUGAAAAUUGAGCCAGCUUUGUUAUGAAAAACAAUUGUCUUUUGAUGAAAUGGAGCAGCCUUUUAGAGCCAAUGAAGAUACAAAGGUCAGCAACAUUCUUUGCAGCAGCACUUGACCCAGAAAGGAAUAGAAUGAUAGUUGCAUUCCUUAUCCUAUUCAUCUGGUAACAGAAAUAAGCUCUCUGAGUCUCAGACUCCACACAUCAAGAAAGGAAGUUAGAGGUUGUAAGAGAUCAUGAGACAGUCAGCCCCAUCCUUCCUGUUCUCUCUCUGCUGUUCUCCCUGGAGGAAGUUGUAAAAAUUAGACCUUGGAGACAUGUGAAGUGUUUAGGAUUUGGGGGAAGUGGGGGUUUUUUGUUUUGUUUUGUUUAAUUGGUAGUAAAAGAAAUGACAAGUCCUUCAGAGCCAGGCAAAAGGAAUGGAAACUGUCAUAUGCUGUUUGGGAAAAGUGGUCUCCAUAAAUGCUCAACAGCCUUCAGAUCAACAGCUUUCCCCUCACUGAGUCAUUCUACCAGAAGAAGAAGAAAUAAACAAUUCCAAACUCAAAGGCAAAACAAGAAACACACCUGACUGGAGGACACUGAUUUGCAUGUGUGUGGUUUUGGACUAGGAACAGAGGACGCAGUGUGAUUCAGCCGUGAUGUAAACAAAUAGAUAUUCUAACUCUCUCUACUGCAGGGGCCUGGAAGCAAUGAUACCUCAUAGCGAAAGACAUACCUUUGCCCAGAUAUUGGUUUCUAAAUCAUUCCAAGUCUCCUUGAGAAAAGGAACAGUUUCAGAGCUGGGGGAGGGAAACUUCAAAAUGAGCCUGUGCUUUACCAAAAGGCAGGAAACACUCAAAGACUUACAGGCUUCUGGGAAAAACAUCCUGCAAAGACAUGCAUAUUGCUAAGUGAAAGAAGCCAGUCUGAAAAGGCUACGUACUGUGGGAUUCCAUUUCUAUGAUACUCUGGAGAAGGCAAGACUAUGGAGAUGGUAAACAGAACAGUGGUUUCCAGGCAUUUGGGGUUGGGGAGAGGGUAGAACAGGUAAAGCUCAGGGGAUUUUUAGGAUGGGGAAACUGCUCUGGAAAGUAAAGAAUCAUUGAUAAUAUGAAAAGUCACUUUGAGGGUUAUCUGUUUUUCAACUUCAGAUUUUAUUGUCCUGGAAUUUUUAAAAGGAAAGAACACACAUUAUACUUAUGUAUAUAUGUAUUAUCGAAUAUAAGAAGAAAUGAAAAGUGUGUGUGUUGAUGUAUGAAGUCUAUAAGUGCAUAUAGGUAGUCACUUUGAUGAAAAGAGUAUAAUAAAGUUCCAAUACAUAUUGUAA